AGGAAGCUGUGCUGAAGAUGCAGGAUCUUCAGGAGAAUCUAUCCUCAACAUAUAGAUUCUGAAGACUAUUCACCUUCAGGAUCACCAUCAUUUUCCAUAGUUUCACAGUUAUCUGCCAAUGACAGUGUUUCAGUCGCAUCAUGUAUGUCAAAUAGCCACAGUAUAUCACCUGACGCAAAAAGAAAAAAAAAAUCUCCAUCAUCCAGAAACAGCCAUAGAUAAGUUUGUGAU